AUGUUCACUGUUAUAUUCAUGUGUCUGUGGCUUUCACUCGGUGACUCCAUGGCAGCUUCAGUAAAGCCACUUUUCACUCAUACAGUUAUAGAUGAAGGCAGUGAUGCUACUCUGUCCUGCAGCGACAAAUCAAGUGAUACAGGAAACUACCUGCACUGGUACAGACAAUAUCCAAAAUCUAAACCUGACUUCCUUCUUUUUAUAUCACAAAGUGGAUAUAAAAGUGACUCAAUCCCACCACGUCUCUCUGCUGAAGUUGAUGAAAAGAAUAACCAAGUGGAUCUGCUCAUCUCCUCUGCUGCUGUAUCAGACUCUGCACUAUACUACUGUCCACCGGCGAAGCAGGCAGGGGCCCGAUACAGACACAGCAACCACCGAUGGGUCACAUCACCGCCCCCAGGACUCCAGCUAGACCAAACACAGGGCAGCAAACGGGAGAGUAGAGCCGACACCAGUGUGCAGCUUUGUCCUUGA